AGUAACGUUUUCGGAUGAACUUGGCCCAGAAAUGGCCCCCAGUGGAAAGUGCAAGUGAAACCUCUCUCUCGAAAGAGAGAGCCGUCUAUCGUUUCAUCUUCCACUUCCAUUUGUUCCUCUAACGUAGUCACAUUUCACGUUCUAUCCAGCGAACUCUAUGAGUUCCUCGAUACGAUCGAUUGUUCCGCGUGAACGUGAACUCGCUCCAUUUCCUUUCUUCAUCUUCAUUGCCGUAAGAUCGUUGUUAGUAAAUUGCCUAAGGCGAGAGAAUCGUUAGCUCUCAGGAUUACUCACGGUAUCUUUUCCUAUGACCGUUUCUACGAAUCCGAUCCAUGCGCAGAUCGAAUGGACAAAAAGACAGAGUUCUGGCGUCGCGACCUCGGCGAAAUCGUCGCGAAGGCCGUUCGACACGGUUCGCGCAGCUGGUUCGCAACUGGACGCCGGAAGAUAUAUUGUAUCGAUUAGCAAUAAAACGCGCACACCGUUCGCGAAUAAACGGCACAGACAACUAGGUUGCUAGGUAGGUGGGUGAAGUAGGUAGAACGUAGGUAGCCGGUAACGCGUCACUCGUCUCUCUGUUCCGCAGCCCUGUGUAUAUAGAGACCAGCAACAACGUCACUGCCGUCCGAGGAAUCCGGAUCGUUGCGCGAUCGAACCUAGCUCGCGACCGCGAUCCAUGCCCCUCGAUAGAAGCAAGGAACACAAGAAUGGAAGCUUCGCACUGCCAUGGACAUCAGUCACCUAGUCGCUGCUGCUCUUCGUUCGUCGUUUGUCGAGCAAGCAAGUGAGCGCGAGGACUGGAUGCGUUUAAACCGUCGAAUCUCGCCGUUGCACCCGGCGGUCUGCAGGGUUGUCCGUUUCGACGCGCGUUCGUUUAACUUUCAACCGCCCUUUCAUUUAUAGCGCAGGCGACCUUGAAAAUGUUACUAUUUUUUUUAUUACUAUUAUUAUAAUUAUUUAAAUCGUAAUAUUAAGGGGCACUAAGGCACCGUUAUAAAUAAUAUAAAUAUAUAUAAUAUAAAUAUGUACAUGUAUGAAAACGUAGGUGCGGACGAAGGAUCCUAAAACACAAUGACUGCGAACUUCCGCAUCCCGUAUCUCUGCUACCGCUGGAAAAUUGUUGUCAUUACUCUCCGAUAGUUACUUGGUUACUGUAAAGACACACUACAUACCCACACAUACAGAUACACCAACAGACGCGUUCAAGUACACGCGACGUACUUACACACACAUACACACACACAGAGAAGCAUACACUGGCCGUACAAACACCAGGACUAAACGUGUAUCCAGUUGAAUUUACUAAACGUUCGUCGGCUUGUUCGGCGGGUAACGUGUAUCCAGUCUGAUUGCAUUUAAAAGCAGAGUAGAACGUGGCCAAGCACGUUUUAGUAAAUUCAAUGAAAAAUGUUGUUCUUUCCGUAUGUUACUGCUACCACCGCUAUUACUACCGCCACUAUAUCGUCGCCUGUUACACUGCAAUUACGCGCUACCAGUAUACUACUUAUUCGCCGAUAUAGCCGUUACGAGACGUAAACACGGCCAUUGGAAAAAUACAUGUUGUCCCUCAAUUAUAGCGAACGAUUCCAAUACUAUUGAGUUUCGCGUUUUCGAGAUCGCUGGUGACCUGGUUGAUCGAUCAUGAAACUCUACGAUACUAGCGGACAAAGAAAAAUGGCAACAAUCUGUUCUCUCUUCGACCCUUAUAUUACGAAAUUAUUCUUAUCCUAUUCUCUCUAGAAUAUAUUUAUUAUGAACCAAACAACAACCGACUGUGUCUUCUCUUAUCCUGUUUUGCCUCCUACCUAUGAGAAAAUCUCUGGCAUCUAACGAGUUUAAGAAACUAUCAUCGGGGAAUAGCGAUCGUUAUCGGAUAUCUUGACGACCAAAGUUUUCGAGCACAAUGGUACACGGUCACCAGUGAGUCGAACGUACCGAAAACGAACGAGGCUCGACGAACGAAGUAAAGAAUCGAGAAGAAAAGGGAAAGAACAAAAAAAGGAUUCUUCGAUUGCCUAUUUUUCGUUGAAAUUGCGCACACGAGUGUUCGUUGACCCGUUCCUCUACUCGCGCUCGCGCUACGUGUUCGUACGAGCUGCACGCGAGAGAGAAUGCGCCUCAAAGCACGACGGCCGGCCAACAGGAGCGCGGUUUUCUCUCUUACCGCCUCUCUCCUUCUCCCUUUUCCCCCUGACACUGUCUCUUUCUUUCCACCUUUCUCUCUGUCUGUGGUCGUCAGGAAGCAGUUACUGUGCGGCCGCGUGCAUUGUUACACAUAACUUCUUUCCAUCCUCGGCGUUGUAACGCGCGCGAUCCGCGCGUUUUCAGCCACGAACACGCCGCGCGCUUUGCAUUCCACGCGCACACGUCGCGGUUUUUCGCGGGCCCGUCCCACGAUCCCGAUCGUUGACGUUUCCACCGAGUGGCGACUAUUGUCAUUGUUCCGAACUUCGUCUCGACUACGACGUUUAGUUACCGUGAUCAUCCGUGAAGAUGAUUCUCUUGCGGCGGAACGGAAUUAUACAAAGAAUCGGAAGAAACUUUGGUGUCGAAUUCGACCUGCUAUAUACGAUUAAUGGAUUUAUGGCACGGAUGGUAGAAACUCUGUAUGCUUUGCAGAAUAUAAAAUUAUAAACUUUUGAUAUCGAAUCGAACCUACAAUUUAUGAUUAUGAAUUUUAUGAUUAUGAAUUUAAAAUUAAACGAUUUUGACGUCAAAUUUGAUCCGUAAUCUUUGAUUAUUCUCUCGAAGCCACUUUUUUUUUUAUAACAGUAUCGCAUAAAUAACAUGUCAAUCUAUCGAGCGUAUAGAACUCCAUUACCUCUGUUUGCUUGGUUGAUGCAAUAAACCCGUUUAUAGCAGUGAUUCCUUAAUUGCCUCGAGCAAUGGCUAAAUGAAACGCAAAUAUAAUAAAUUACCUACUGAAA